ensembl:lncRNA
GCUGGAUUAAAACAGGACAUAUUAGCAGCAUUUAACCUUCAGUUACUCUUUAUGUAGUUAGAUAGGAGUCAUGUUUCUUUUUAGCUGAAAAACCUUACACCCAGAGAGACAGCCAGGUUCAUGAUGGAUAUAAGGAAGUUUUUUCAAAAACAGGAGUCACAUUCAGUCCAAAGAGGGAGAGAGGAAAGAGGGGAACGUGAGGAGAAAGUACAAGGUCAGCAAGAACCAGGUAAGAAAACAAACAGGGAAUAGUGACAGGCAAAACAGAAACUAUUAAACUGACGAAGAGAAAAAACCUGAUUUUACUCAUACAGUCUGGAAGUUGUGUUCUCCCUAUAUUAAA